UACGUAGGGUGCAAGCGUUAAUCGGAAUUACUGGGCGUAAAGCGUGCGCAGGCGGUUUUGUAAGUCUGAUGUGAAAUCCCCGGGCUCAACCUGGGAAUUGCAUUGGAGACUGCAAGGCUGGAGUCUGGCAGAGGGGGGUAGAAUUCCACGUGUAGCAGUGAAAUGCGUAGAGAUGUGGAGGAACACCGAUGGCGAAGGCAGCCCCCUGGGUCAAGACUGACGCUCAUGCACGAAAGCGUGGGGAGCAAACAGG
rnacentral:rRNA from 1 species